rnacentral:tRNA from 2 species
CGCGGGGUGGAGCAGUCUGGUAGCUCGUCGGGCUCAUAACCCGAAGGUCGUCGGUUCAAAUCCGGCUCCCGCAACCA